CUUAUUAGUCUUGAUCCCAGAUCUCCAUCUUUGCCUGGGAAGAGGCUUUCCUAACCACAGAUGUCCUAAGAGGAGUCAUAAGGAUACUUCUUGAACAGAACUGGAGUUAGAAUUAGAAUACAAACAAUGAAGGUAUAUCAUGGCACACUGCCUAUCAUUUAAACUUUCUUAUUCACCAAUGUGUAUAUUACCAUUUGCCUGCCCCCAAUACUUUUCCAUUACAAUAGAGAAGGAACAGCCACUGGGAUUGAACCCAUCAUUACUUUCUGAUAAUCAGCACAGGACUCAGCCUGCUAAGAUGUUAUAUCCAAUUUAGACAUGAGCUAGGGAGAACUCUUUUGUCCCCUUAUAAGU